rfam:Stegodyphus mimosarum contig25860, whole genome shotgun sequence.
GCCUUUGUGGUGUAAUGGUCAGUACACUCGGCGCGUAUUCGAGAGGUCUGAGAUUCGAGUCCCGGCGAGGGCA